UUCUCAACUCAUUCCUGAAUAUUUUUAAUUGAGCAUCACAUGGUUGUUUGAAAAUGGUAUCUUUUGCAGAUUGCUGAUAAAAAAUUCUAAAAUUUCGCAGUAUGCAUUGUAAUGGAAGCUUUUGUCAGGAAGUGGAGAAAAUGGUUAUAUUCUUAGACAGCAUCGAGGCAACAAACCUGUCUGUUGAACUAAAGACAACACGAAUUUUCAACUUCGGUUAAGAAACAAGGACUAAAAAGGUGUAGGGCAAACUUACUACAGAUGAUGCAGGCACCAUACAGUAUCUGAUAAAAAGGAACUUGCUUGGGUGAGAAAUACACAAAGCAGAUCAGAAAACAUAUGACAUAUUUUGUUGAGUUGCUUCCCUCUGAUUUAUGGAUCAGUUGCCGACUUUCCUUUGCAUUUACAUGAUUGCAGUUUGAAGACAUUGGUGAACAAAGGAGACAAUUAGUAACAAAAAAGAAGCAUCCAGUAGUUGUAGGCUUGGAGCCUAGCUGCAUAUGGAAUUCAAGUAUAAAAAAGUAAAAACCAAUCAGUGUAAGUUACAGAAUAAUAAAAAGCACAUGAAAUAAAAAAAAUGAUUGUUCAAGAGCAAGGUUCACCAAGCCCGAUUAGGGCUGGAAGUGCAGCAGCCUGUUAUCCCUCCACUGUCAAGAGCCGAAGGUUAUCGCUGCUCUGUGAAACCAGCCUCACGCUGUGCCCUCCUGUCUAGAAACCAGGAAACCUAUGCCUUCGCAAAGGUCCCUUGGCUCAACUCCUGACUUGGAGUGGGCAAGCCAGCAAGAUGCAGCUUCCAGACCAGCUUAGCAAGCCAUAGCCUUGUUCAAUCACCUUAAAGCCCCCACUCAGGUCACAAGCUGACGUUACCCAGCUCGGCGAACUGACAUGAUUGUCAGAAGAUUUAUAAAGACUAAUUUUUCUAAUAUUCUGAACAAUGUGGGACUUCCAGAUGGCAAUAUGAAGUGCGUAGAGUCUUGAGUUGGAAACUGAGGCUUGUUCCUUUCCGUCUAUUUUCUCCAUGGUAUGAUAUGAUACAUCGAAAUACGUUAUAACCUUGUAACCCAAAAGGUUUCAAUGAGUCAUUUUAAGUUGAUGAGAAAAACAUAAAAGUGGCAUUUUGAAGUGUUGAUUCCACUUUGAUUAAUACCCUCAUCAGAAAAAGUUCAAUUUUGAUUAUAUCUUUUAAUUUA